CCCUCCACCUCCGAGUGCCACUCGGGUGCCACUUCCUCCCGGACCAGGAGAGGUAAGGUCACUUCUUGUGUUUUCUUGAACUCCCCCUCACCGCCUGGAUUCCUGUUUUGAGUUAUUCGUGCUGCCUUUAUUGUCUCGUGCCCCCCACACACACACACCGGAAACGGAGUCCCCCACCCUGGAGACCCAGGCCUGGCUUCUCUGAGCCUCCUCUGUACCCGCUGCGCCUUGGACCCGGGUCCUGGUAGCCACUGUGGCCGCAAAAUCAUUAUCUGCUGAAGGAUUGAAAUUGUGUGAGCUGCAGAACCUGCCUCGCCUCCUCCCCUCUGCCGUGUCCCCCCCCCCCUUUACUUCCUAGCACUCCCGAGCCUGGGACUGAAUACCCUGGCCCCUACCCCACCCCAUGUCCGCCCUUCCCCAUCAGCCCCUGGCUUGGCAUCGUCUGAGGAUCCACCUUGCACCCAGUUCCCCUCUGUGGCUCUGUGCCUGAGACCUCCUUCCUUCCCUCCUGGCCUUCCCUCACCCCACAAACAUCCUGAGCUCCUCGGGGCCCAGCACUAUUGGGCGUGGACACAGACGCCUUGGAUGAUGUUUGGAGAACUUAAGCAAAUUACUGCCCUUCAGAACCUUGAUGUCUUCAUCCGUAAAAACGGGAGCAAAAUACUCCCCCGGAGUGCGAAUGAGGCCGUGGGUACAAGUUCAACCUUGCCUCCCUCCCCUCCUGGGACUGCCCCAAAGAGGCAAAUCCGGAAGCUAGGAGUUCCCAGAUGGUGGGUUAGAUGGAGGGCCACCACAAGAGUUUGGGAGGAAGGUAAAGUAUUGAGUUUGGGAGACAAGAGCCCCGGCUGGUGGGGGGUGGGGGGACAGUCUGGCUAAGCCUCACCUGGGAACAGGAGAAAGCUCCGGGGUUGGUCGAGAUAAACCUGGCCUUCUAGAGUUUUCCGGAGCAGAGAUGGUUCUGCCAUGCAGUCCUUUGGGGGCUUUUAGACAAGAUGGCAGCCGGAGAAGAGAGGCCGGAGGCCAGGCAAGGAGAAGAGAUCUACAAGGCUUACAGGAUGAGGCAGUGGGAAGGAGAUCUCCUGGACCAGCUGCCAUUGACCUGCGUCCUGGAAGGAGGAGGGAGAGCCAGCUUCGCCAGGGAAAGGCAUCCGAGGCAGAGCGACCAGCAGGUGCACAGGCUGUGCAGAACAAGGAACAGACGCGGGGCUUUGUUGCCCCUGAGCUCACUUCCGUCACCGGCUGAGAUGAAGGAGGAAGGCCCUGAAGCCAGGAUUAUGGUUCACCCCUCGGCACAUCCCGGCACAUCCCACCGGGAGCCCAGUGGAGCCUGGCCCACAGCAGGUGCUCAUCGAAGGAACCGGUUUUGAGCAUUUACUAUUCUUGGUUGAGCGGCAGAAGAAGCCCUUUCCUCCUUCCCAGACGUGAGCGGCUGGCAAGCUCGAAGUGGGGCACCUGCCACACCGUUCGCUGCCUAAGCCCACGUCACCCUCCCCCAGGCGCCGG